CUUUUCUAGUUUAAAUUCUGUUUUGACUUUGUGAUGAGGGGGGUGUAUAAAUGAGAUUUUUUUCUGUAGCUUCAGGCUGCAACAGGAAAAUUGAAAAAAAGUAAAGGGGGCUGAAUUCUCUCUGAAUUCUCUGUAUGUCGUGUGAAACUUUGCAACAGUAAGAAAUCUUUUUUUUUAAAUACAAGAUAAAAAUUUUUAAAAAUCCUAACACUGAUUUUGGGCUUCCUGCCUUUAACCAUAGAGUACAGUGGUUAGAGCUGGAGACCAGAGAGAGAGAGAGAGAGGGGAGGGAGCCACAGGCCAGAUUCAAAACCAGAGCACAAGAACUUGUGAACAUGUGGCCCUAAAACCACUAGACUACCAGUACUGUAUACAUAAUAUACAUUUAUAUGUUAACUCCUGGUAAAACUAAUACUUUUACUAAAAGAUAAUAGAGGUUAAAUUACACCAAGUAUUUAGAGAUGUAGUCACCAGACUCUUUGUUUCAGUUAACACACUACUUCUACGCCUCAAUAUGAGAAAAAGCACCUCUGCAUGACGUUUUUUUUGGUCAAAUAUCCUGAUGAAGUCUGCUCAGCGGGUCUCUGAUAGGAGGCUGUUUUCUGAAUGUGAUAGAAAAGAGUUUCCUCUUCCUGACUACUGAGAUUAAAACCUCAUUCUUUCCUCCAUAAACAUGAAUUAUUUUGAGAUAAAUCAAAAAGCAGACAUUUUACCUGCAUAAACCAAUAGAAGCAGCUCUGCAGCCGUCCUGGACUCAGACCUCCUCAUAAAGGAUUUACUGGCUGAUCCAGUCAGAUGUGCUGAUGUUGCAUCACUCUGCAGCUACAUGAGCUUCUCAGAGAGCCCCCAAAACCACCGUGUCUGUGUCUUACAAGGCUGGCAUGCCUGAACACAGUUAAAGUGAGGAGGAAACUGUAGAUUAACAAAUUCCUCAUGUGUAGACCAGCUGUCCUCUGCAUGUGUGUGAAGCUGUGGUUUGGCCCUCACUGAGAAGUGCUUAUGUGGCGCCUGGCUCCCCUUCAUUACAAACUCCUGUUUGCUCUCUUACGUCAUCUAUUUUGUGUUUUUGGAGGAUUAUUAGACCAGAAGACUCUGGGUUCAGGUUCUGAUUAUGUGACAUAAAAAAAUCAGUUUAAUUGUGCUGUUUGUUUACCAAUAUAACAUCUCUCACCGUCUUUCCACGUCCCCAUCCCGCUCCAGCCCUCCCACCGUCCCUGUUUUCCUGUCUUUAAUUACGGCUCCUCCAAUAGGCUCAAACUAUCAGAAACUUUUCCACCAAUCAGGUGCCUGGUUGUGGCGGCCCUUGACCCCCUCAGGUGGCUCCCUGCGUGUGCUUCUUCAGCGUGAGCGCUAAUGAGUGCUUGUUGUGUGUUCCGUUUAAAACCCUGGCCCGGUCCCUCUGUCAGGGCAGUCUGUCAGAAGGGCCACAGGGACAGGGUGCAGCAGGAGCCUCUAUCACACCCACAACCAGUGUUUGAGCCCAAGUGGACCGGAUCAUAAGGAGUCCACAUCUGGAUCCACAGGGAUAAAUAAGCACAGCAGGAGAGAGGAGGAAGAGGAGAAGUCAUGGCUGGAAGGAGGAAAAGCAGUUUGUCUGGUGUUUUUGUGGCCACUCUGCUGGCUCUGAUGCUGCUGCCUGUGUUGUUGUCCGCUGGACCAGUGAAGAAGCCGAGGGGUGAUGGUAAGCAUAUU